rnacentral:rRNA from 1 species
UACGUAGGGUGCGAGCGUUGUCCGGAAUUAUUGGGCGUAAAGAGCUUGUAGGCGGUUUGUCGCGUCUGCCGUGAAAAUCCGGGGCUCAACCCCGGACUUGCGGUGGGUACGGGCAGACUAGAGUGUGGUAGGGGAGACUGGAAUUCCUGGUGUAGCGGUGGAAUGCGCAGAUAUCAGGAGGAACACCGGUGGCGAAGGCGGGUCUCUGGAACGGUACUGACGCUGAGACGCGAAAGCGUGGGGAGCGAACAGG